CAAUAGCGUAUAUUUAAGUUGCUGCAGUUAAAAAGCUCGUAGUUGGAUUUCGGGUGGGAAUGGCCGGUCCGCCGUUUCGGUGUGCACUUGCUACGCCCACCUUGCUGCCGGGGACGUGCUCUUGAGUUCACGCUCGGGACACGGAGUCGGCGAGGUUACUUUGAGUAAAUUAGAGUGUUCAAAGCAGGCCUACGCUCUGAAUACAUUAGCAUGGAAUAACACGAUAGGACUCUGGCCUAUCUUGUUGGUCUGUAGGACCGGAGUAAUGAUUAAGAGGGACAGUCGGGGGCAUUCGUAUUUCAUUGUCAGAGGUGAAAUUCUUGGAUUUAUGAAAGACGAACUACUGCGAAAGCAUUUGCCAAGGAUGUUUUCAAUUGA
rnacentral:rRNA from 1 species